rnacentral:piRNA from 1 species
UAUUGGAAAGAAAAACUCAUGGAAUUAUGGC